UCCCACUAAGCGGGGAGUUAGCGGUUCCCUGUACCCGAAAACCGCUACAUGCGGGGCUGAAUUCCCACCCGAGGCUUUUCACAACGGAUGCGGUCCUCGAAUGAGCGGUGUUGAUGAUUGGGUCCCACGCAUCGAGAACCCGUGAACCUGGUCAGGCCCGGGAGGGAGCAGCCAUAAGCGGGUCAUCUCGGGUGACGUGGGGUAGCCCAGUCGGAGCUGGCUGUUCGAGGACGGUCCGGGGUGAAAAGUCGAAGGUGGGUGUGGGA
rnacentral:SRP_RNA from 1 species